CGGCGGCUGCCGUGAUGAGGCUGAUUUCCGGC
rnacentral:scRNA from 1 species